rnacentral:rRNA from 1 species
AAUAUCAAAGGUGAGCCAGUACAGGAUGGACCCGCGUCUGAUUAGCUAGUUGGUAAGGUAACGGCUUACCAAGGCGACGAUCAGUAGCCGACCUGAGAGGGUGAUCGGCCACAUUGGAACUGAGCCACGGUCCAAACUCCUACGGGAGGCAGCAG